rnacentral:rRNA from 1 species
AUAUCACUCAGCAGAGGAAAAGAAACUAAAUAGGAUUCCCCCAGUAACGGCGAGUGAAGAGGGAAAAGUCCAAGCCAAAAAUCGGAGGGGUUUACCCCGCCCGAAUUGUAGUUUUGUGAGUAGUCUUGUGGUAGGACGGCACUGUGAUAAGUCCCUUGGAACAGGGCGCCACAGAGGGUGAGAGCCCCGUAUUUGCACAGGUCCAGCCUACCCCAUUUCUAUUUCUGUGAGUCGGACAACUUGGGAGUGUUGUCCUAAUGCGGGUGGUAUGUUCCAUCCAAGACUAAAUAUUGACAAGAGACCGAUAGCGUACAAGUACCGCGAGGGAAAGAUGCAACAGAACUUUGAAAAGAGAGUUAAUAAGUCCUUGAAAUUGUUAAGGGGGAAGCGGUACAUAUCUCAGUAGCGGUAUAGCCAGAUCACUUGAGUGUUAGCUGCCUCUUCAUUCAGGAUUGGGAGGGGUCCUCAGGACCUCCCCAUCUUGGGUGAGGGGCAUCACUUUGGGCAUUCUGGUUAUACCGCACACAACAUCACUAGACUAGGGAGGAAAAGGGUUCUGGCGAGGUACCAACCAUCUGGUUGGGAUACGCCAGGGCACAUACUCU